CAAUAGCGUAUAUUAAAGUUGUUGCAGUUAAAAAGCUCGUAGUUGGAUUUCUGGGAGGGUGCCGCCGUCCGGCGUGUCCGUGUGCAGUGGCGCCCUUCCAUCCUUCUGUUAGCGUCUCUUGGCAUUCAUUUGCUGGUGGCGGGCUCAGAUAUUUUACCUUGAGAAAAUUAGAGUGUUUCAGGCAGGCUAGGCCGGAAUACAUUAGCAUGGAAUAAUGGAAUAGGACUACGGUCUCUUUGUUGGUUUGAGGGACUGCAGUAAUGAUUAAUAGGGACAGUUGGGGGCAUUAGUAUUUAAUUGUCAGAGGUGGAAUUCUCAGAUUUGUUAAAGACUAACUUAUGCGAAANCANNNGCCAAGGAUGUUUUCAUNAA
rnacentral:rRNA from 1 species